UACGUAGGGACCAAGCGUUGUUCGGAUUUACUGGGCGUAAAGGGCGCGUAGGCGGCAGAUCAAGUCAGCUGUGAAAUCUCCGAGCUUAACUCGGAACUGUCAGCUGAUACUGUUUUGCUAGAGUGCGGAAGGGGCAAUCGGAAUUCUUGGUGUAGCGGUGAAAUGCGUAGAUAUCAAGAGGAACACCUGAGGUGAAGACGGGUUGCUGGGCCGACACUGACGCUGAUGCGCGACAGCGUGGGGAGCAAACAGG
rnacentral:rRNA from 1 species